AAAGUCAAGGAGACUUCAAAGAUGAGAAAUGAUUGCACUGGGCCUUAAAGAGGAAGUUCAGCAGAACAAGGUGGGAAGGGCACGAUAUCAGAGAUCACCUGAUACCUCCAAGCAAGCAGGUGUUCUUUUCAGAAGCCAGAAGCUGAUAACCUGGGCUUUCUGAUCUAACCCCAGCCCAAAUUCAUUGCAAUGGAGGAAUUGGGGAGGAGAUUCUUCCUACUGAGAAGUGGGUGCCAACUCUCCCUUUCAAAUUUGUUCAUCAACUAACUAAAGGGGAUGCCAGAAAUGUCUGGAGCAAUGGAAGAACCACUGGAAUAAUGCUCCUGCCUGAUUGCAUCUACUUAACCCACUCUCCAAGAGCCAGAAUCAGAUUUCAACCGUAUGGAAUCAUCUACAAUGCAGCAGAUGGGUUUACAAGUCUCUUGGUCUCUUCGUGUAAUUAACAGCCAAGAAGUCUAAAGCUUGCAUUGUUUACGUGGAAGAUGUUUCUUGCCCAUUCCCACGCCAUGCCAUCUGAAAUCGCUCCUUUUUUUAUUUUUUCUGUGCAGUUUUUUUAACUUUGUGGGAUCCUCUGCAUAUAAAACUCCAUUCAACUACUUCAUCCUACUGUAGAAAGCUACUUCCCUAUGAGUUUAGCUCCAUGAUUUACAAUGGUUUCUUUUCCCAUUUGCUGUCUGAAUUAUGUUUCGCAAGAACCCUUUGAAAUAAGGAAGGCAUGUAUCAUCUUUCCCUUUUACAGGCAAAGAAACUGAGGCACAGAAAGGCUUAGUAGUAGGUGAUCCUGCAAGAAUUCAAAUGACUUGUCUGGUUCUAAGUUGAGUGCUCUUUUUCUGAUGCCGCAUGUCUUUUCUCCAGAGAAGUAACCUACCUAGACCCAGAGGGAGCUUGAAGAGAGAUUUUCAUCUUACUGUGAGAAAACAAAGACCCAGAGAGUGGAGGGUUUAAGACCAUCCCGGUCAUUGCCAUUAUUUCUUUUCAAAGAGACAGAGGCCUCUGUGUGGAGCUGCUUCUGUGUUUGUGGUGUGAAUUUUGCUGGUGAGAUGUGAGACUCAAAAGAAAUUUGAGAGAUUGUGUCUGACCUUAAGGAAUUUACUAAGAAACCAGGGAAAUAAAGCUGUCUUACAAGAUGCUUAAAACAACAACUAAAGGCAGCCUUAGAUUGGGAGGUACUCCUUCCAAGAUAGAAAUUUCUUAACCUUUGCUUUGAAGUCUGGUUUCUUUUUCAAGAUCCAGAAGCAUAAUCCGUAGUUAGAUUUAGGUUCAAGCCCUUCCUAACUGAUCAUGUUCUAAAUUCCUAUAGUGGUCAUCAAUGUCAUGUCAGCUCAUGUGAAGGUUUUUUCUCCCUUUUUUUUUAGUGGUGAGGAAAAGAUGUAGUAGUAUUUUUCAUGGACUUUGCAGCCUUCUUCAUGGCAAAUAACUUAUUGGAUUAGUUUUCGGUUCUUUUUAAUCAAGGAGCUCUACAUCUGACUUAGUAGAAUACUUUUUCUCAAGGAGAAUUGGGUGUCUUACUUCACAGUUGCUGAAGUAACCUGUGCUUUCUCCCCUGACUCUUCCCGGGAAGAAGGAGUAGCCAUCGUGUCCCAAGUCCUUGAGGACUUCACAGGGUGUUCUAGUGUCCUGAGAAUAUACCUGCCUAAGGUAAAGCAGUCAUGGUACCCUGGGAUUGAUGCACUUCUCACCCUCCACUUUGACUGUCAGAGGCAUUCAUAAGACUUUCUACAUAGGGGAUCCUUGGGCUGGCAGAGGUGGUCUUUGGAUAUGUAAUGGCUACGUGCUGGCCUACAGAGCCCCUUUCCUGUCCUAGUACUCUGCCUGCUAAGAUAGAGAACGGAAUUGCCAUGACUUUAUAGUCUCUGAACACCUUUACCAAAACCACCUGGUUCUUAGGACAGACAAGUGGGAUUAAAGAGAGGGAAAGCUCUGGGCCCAUAGUUGAUUUUGAAAUGGGACAUGGAAUGGUGCAGGUGGGGAUUCAGCAGCCAUACUGGACUGAGGUUUGCAAACCCUCAGUGAUGGCAGGCCCUACGGGAGUGCUGGGGCAGUCAAGUUCCAGAGGCCAGGCAAUGUGGCAUUUGGAGUCAGAAAGAAAGAUCUGGCCGUGAACUCCUGUUCCUCUCUAUACCCUCUGUAUGACCUUGAGCUUGUUGUUUAACUUCAGAAACCUUCCAUGUGGCCUGUCUCCUGGGAGAACUGUAUUAGUUACAACAUACGUAGGCACUCAAAAACGCUGGCUAGCUGUCAUCAUUUUUAUCCUAUGCUAUGUACAGAGAAAAACAUGAUCCAAAUAGAGUAAAGAAUUACAAAGAUAAUUCCUGGUCUAGGACCAGAAGACUUUCCUAAAGCGAAUUAAAUAUAUAAAUGUAUAAUAU